UACGGAGGGUGCGAGCGUUAAUCGGAAUUACUGGGCGUAAAGCGCAUGCAGGUGGUGUGUUAAGUCAGAUGUGAAAGCCCGGGGCUCAACCUCGGAAUAGCAUUUGAAACUGGCACACUAGAGUACUGUAGAGGGGGGUAGAAUUUCAGGUGUAGCGGUGAAAUGCGUAGAGAUCUGAAGGAAUACCAGUGGCGAAGGCGGCCCCCUGGACAGAUACUGACACUCAGAUGCGAAAGCGUGGGUAGCGAAAGGG
rnacentral:rRNA from 1 species